CUGCACUCUUGGGCAACAGAGCGAGACUCUGUCUCAAACAAAACAACACAAACAAAAACCCGUAAGUACUUAGAAAAUGAAGAGAUUACAUUUAUAAGGUAAAUUUAAAGUAUUUGAGAGAUUUUACCAAAUUGUAAAAAGAGAUUGCUAAAUUUUGUUACACUUAUACUCAGGAUAUGCUUAAGGGAGAGCGAUGAGUUUUAAUAUUUAAUGAAUGUUAAUCUGCGAAUUUCUUAAACCCACGAGCCCCGCCCCCCCCGGGUCCCCGGGGUCUCCUCCUAGUCCCGCCCCGGCUCCCGGCCCACCAUUCGCCCCUCCCCCUGGGCCCGGGGCCCGCCCACUCCAGGCUUCGCCAGGGGCGGAGGCGACGUCGUGCGCACGCGCGGGCCGUGCUGCGGGACCUUGGAGCGCCGGAACCUGAGAGGCGGGUCGCGGCGGCGCACAGGAGGUCGGCUGCGGGAGCGUUUCCGGGGACGGUGCUGCCAUGACACUGGCCCCGCGCGCGCUGUGCAGCACCGCCCAGGCCGCCUGGCGGGAGAACUUCCUACUGAGCGGCCGCGACGUGGCGCGCUGGUUCCCGGGCCACAUGGCCAAGGGGCUGAAGAAGAUGAAGAGCAGCCUGAAGCUGGUGGACUGUAUCAUCGAGGUCCAUGAUGCCCGAAUCCCACUUUCAGGCCGCAACCCUCUGUUUCAGGAAACCCUUGGGCUUAAGCCUCACUUGCUGGUCCUCAACAAGAUGGACUUGGCGGAUCUUACAGAGCAGCAGAAAAUUAUGCAACGCUUAGAAGGAGAAGGCCUAAAAAAUGUCAUUUUUACCAACUGUUUAAAGGAUGAAAAUGUCAAGCAGAUCAUCCCGAUGGUCACUGAGCUGAUGGGGAGCAGCCCCCGCUACCACCGAGGAGAGAACCUGGAGUACUGCAUCAUGGUCAUCGGGGUCCCCAACGUGGGCAAGUCCUCCCUGAUCAACUCCCUCCGGAGGCAGCACCUCAGGAAAGGAAAAGCCGCCAGGGUGGGUGGCGAGCCUGGGAUCACCAGAGCUGUGAUGUCCAGAAUUCAGGUCUCUGAGCGGCCCCUGAUGUUCCUGUUGGACACUCCUGGAGUGCUGGCUCCUCGGAUUGAAAGUGUGGAGACAGGCCUGAAGCUGGCCCUGUGUGGAACGGUGCUGGACCACCUGGUCGGGGAGGAGACCAUGGCUGACUACCUGCUGUUCACCCUCAACAGACACCAGCGCUUUGGCAAGAGCUCCAGUGGUGGGAGCCACCCUCCAUGCUGCUGGCCAUGGCCACACAGGACAAAGCUCAGGGAUGGUUCUUAGACAGUGGCUCUCCCCCGGGGCUCAGCACCAGUCACCUCCAGUGCCAUCUUCGUCAUCCACAGCACUGCAGUCACUGUCACCCACAGGAGUUGCCUAGCCAUGGCCUUUGUGGCAUUCAGGAGCAAGGGCCCGGCCUGGCUGGCUGUGCACCUGGCUGUCUGCGUGGUGUCAGUGCUGGGCCCCCUGGUGCUGACCUGCAGCCUGUGUGCAGGUACGUGCAGCACUACGGCCUGGGCAGUGCCUGUGACAGCAUAGAGCGUGUGCUGAAGAGUGUGGCUGUGAAGCUGGGGAAGACACAGAAGGUGAAGGUGCUCACGGGCACGGGUGACGUGAACGUUGUUCAGCCUGACUAUCCUGCGGCAGCCCGUGACUUCCUCCAUACCUUCCGCCGCGGGCUGCUGGGCCCCGUGAUGCUGGACCUCGACAUCCUGCGUGGCCACCCCCCGGCCGAGACUGUGCCCUGAACUUGUCCGGGUGGGGAGGGCCACGAGUGGCCUCCCAGACCUCCUCACCUGGGUGGUUGAGGCUCAAGACAGCUCACCUGGUCCAGGAGCUCCACGCUGGCCACUAGGGUGCUGUGCUCUCUGGUGCCCCCACGGCCUGGCUAGCUCCAGGGGCCCCAGUUCCAGGGGCCAAGCAGGUGGGAGUGGACACCAGGCUUCCCAGGUGACGUCCCUGAGCAGCUCCGCAUGCUUGGUUCUCCCGGAGCUUCCUGCUCAGGCCUCUUGAGAAAUGGAUGCUGUCUCAGAAGGAGUUAAAGCUAUAACCUGUAACCUUUAAAAUCUCCAAUUAAAGGGCCUGUUUCUUACUGGCCUGUGAGGUAUAC